rnacentral:snRNA from 1 species
GCACUUCCCCAGAGGUACGUAUACAAAGAGUGGAACGAUAAGGAGAAGAUUAGCAUAGUCCCUGCGCAAGCAUAACACUUUAAAUCGUGAAGAGCUCCAUCGUCCU